AUACGUAGGGGGCGAGCGUUGUCCGGAAUGAUUGGGCGUAAAGGGCGCGUAGGCGGCCCGGUAAGUCUGGAGUGAAAGUCCUGUUUUUAAGAUGGGAAUUGCUUUGGAUACUGUCGGGCUUGAGUGCAGGAGAGGUAAGUGGAAUUCCCAGUGUAGCGGUGAAAUGCGUAGAGAUUGGGAAGAACACCAGUGGCGAAGGCGACUUACUGGACUGUAACUGACGCUGAGGCGCGAAAGUGUGGGGAGCAAACAGGAUUAGAUACCCUGGUAGUCCACACUGUAAACGAUGAAUGCUAGGUGUAGGGGGUAUCGACCCCUUCUGUGCCGCAGUCAACACAAUAAGCAUUCCGCCUGGGGAGUACGGCCGCAAGGUUGAAACUCAAAUGAAGUGACGGG
rnacentral:rRNA from 1 species